GGGUGCGAUCAUACCAGCGUUAAUGCAACAGAAUCCAUCAGAACUCUGCAGUUAAGCGUGCUUGGGCUAGAGUAGUACUGGGAUGGGUGACCUCCAGGGAAGUUCUAGUGUUGCACCCU
rnacentral:rRNA from 1 species